rfam:Brassica oleracea var. oleracea cultivar TO1000 chromosome C3, whole genome shotgun sequence
GGAAUAUAAGAACCCGUCUCUUAACUUUCAACUAAAAAAAUUAAGAACCAGCUAUUAAAUAAGAGAUUUAAAAACCGGUUCUUAGUUUUUUUAGUUAAAAGUUAAAAGUCAAAUUCUUAUAUUCU